UACGAAGGGGGCUAGCGUUGUUCGGAAUUACUGGGCGUAAAGCGCGCGCAGGCGGUCUUUCAAGUCAGUGGUGAAAGCCUGGAGCUCAACUCCAGAACUGCCAUUGAAACUGCAAGACUUGAGUACGAGAGAGGCGAGUGGAAUUCCGAGUGUAGAGGUGAAAUUCGUAGAUAUUCGGAAGAACACCAGUGGCGAAGGCGACUCUCUGGUCCGAUACUGACGCUGAGGUGCGAAAGCGUGGGGAGCAAACAGG
rnacentral:rRNA from 1 species